CAACCGGUUUCAUGAAAUCAUUUGCACAGAUUCUGAACACUGACUAUUUUUCUUUCACUUAGCAUAUCUUUCCCUGAAAGUCUAAAAUGCCAAGAUGUUGGGCUUUUUGCUGUCUGCAUGAGCAAUUACAGAUGGCUUCUUCACUGAAAGACAUACACACUGGAUGCCUGCCUUUUCCUCUGAAGCCUGCAAGUCUAUCUAGGUGACAGUGUGAACGAAGCCCACGGAGAGCCUGCAUGUUGACAGCACUUGUUUCAGGGACAUUCUGAGCACCUGUUUCUCAUUUCUAGCUUGGUGUGUUGCUGGGGCACAGGAGUCUUUUUUGUUCUUCCCCCAAAAGACAAUACCAACUGGUAUUGUUCUCUGGCCCCUUGUGUAAGUUGUGACUCUGAAGAAAAGUGACUGAUUUCUACACGUGGCUUGUGGAAUCGGUGUCAUUGCUCAGCAGCCAUACCUCAUAAAUCUCUCCAGGCUACAAGCUUCUGUCGGUCCCCAGCGGUUCCGAGAACAAUCCGCAGCAAACACUGACAGGAAGGGCCAUUAUGGUGGCUGAUGUUCUCACCAUCUGGAAUGGUUACAGUUGUCAGGAUCUGCGAUGACUCACUGUGCUGGGGAAUCAUUUCUCUAAUGGCAGCACUAAUCAGGAGGGAUGAAGCCGUUGCUAAGUGCUGCUGCAUGAAGAAAACACUCUGCCAGAUGAAAAGCAAGGGCUGUUGAUUUGUUUUUGCCUGUUUGAAAAUCGAGUGGCUUGGAAUGUCACCCUUGGUUCCAUCUAAUAUCAGGCCAUUGUUCAUGUUAAGAGCCGGCAUCUCAGACCAGCCUUGAGAAGUGCUGGCUGUUUCCACGGAGAGAGGACCUGUGCCUUCCUCUCUGUGGCCAGCUGUGCCCUGAGGAGGCUGGGCAGUUCUCUGAUCCCGGCUUAGCAGUUUGGUGUGGAGAAGGCGGCACAAACAGAUAUGGAUAUGGUUUUAUAAGCAGCCUCCUCCCUCUGGCAUUAGCUCUGGAGCUAUCCCAUGUAAACCCUAACCCCACCACAGGCUCCCCACUACUGUCACAGCUGACCCCCGUGGAAGUUCCCGUCAGCAGCUGGCUCCUCCGAGGGGGUCACCAGUUCAUCCUGAACCUUAACUGUUGCCUCCAGAGGGAACCAACUCAGACAAACCCUUGAUUUUGGACUCCCAGCCUUCAGAACUGUGAGAGAAUAAAUUUCUUUUGUUUUCUGCCUCUCAAUCUGUGGCAGUUUGUUACAGCAGCCCUAGGAAAUUUACUUAGUGGGAGACCAGAAGACUUCAUGUGUCAUAGGAAGACUCCAGACAAGAGCCAGUUUCCUUAUGACUAAAGGUUUUUAUCAGCUCUUUCGUAAAGAAAUUGAAGAUCAGGGAAGUUAUAUGAAUUGCCUGAAACUGCCACCUCACAGGAUUGAGAAUAAAAAUGAGAGUCUGUCAUUGGUUGAACCCAACUGGAAUGCCCAGAGCAAGGCAGCACAUUGAUGUAGUUCAUGAAGACCAGCCAUGCAGGGCACAGAACAGUGUGGGAGAAGAGAAGAUCUGAAAGGACAUAAGGAAGCUGAACAGCAUCAUUCAAUCAUCUGUUCUCUGGAGGAAGCCUCAAACCUACCACAACAACAUCACAUCAGUGCUGGAAUGAGAAAAGCUGGUGGAAGGAAGCAAGAAUGGGAAGAGAAGUCAGGCCAUGACUGCAGUGAUCCAGGAAACAGUGGAGUAUGGCUCGCAGCUGGAGAGGAAAUGCUGAAGAUGAGAAAUAUUGAGGAAGUAGAAAUGGCAGGAUUCACUGAAAGCUGUGCUACGGAGGAGAAAUCAGCAAAGCCUGAGAAUGAGUGGCUGAAGAAGUAGGUGUCCACCAGCAGAAUGUGAAGUCAGGAAAGCAGACAGGUUUGUUUCUCUACGUGGUGGACCACCAUGGCUUCCCCGUCAGCUGUUCAAGCCCCAGCUGUACUGGCUGCAGGAGGAAAUCAAAGGGGGCAGUUGCCUUAAUGUUAUCAGCUAAUACUUUGUUACUUAAUUAUUGGCACCUUCCCACCAUGAGCCAGCAGAAAAAACCUCAGUUCCUGAGGUCAAAGGACGGAUUAAGCAAUGGAAGAGAAGGGGCAGAAGGAAUGUGGAUCAGUCUCUGAACUCUCAUCUCAGCCGGGUGCCUACUGAGAUCAGUCUUAACAUCAGUGUUUACUUAGUAAGCAUUUAUUAAGUGCUUUGGGCAGUUACUGUGUUUGUUGCUGGUCAGAUUCUUAAAUGCGCUUGCUAUUUAUGUUAAUUAUGAGAGACAAAACAGUAUCACGGCAUGUGUCCUUUUGAAAUGCAAAGAACUCUGAGGAAAGUAAUAAAAAUGGCCACUGCUUUUGUAAAAUCUGAAAAACUCAGACCAUGCUCACCUGGGCCCCAUUUAACACCUUUUGUACACUCUACCCACUCAAUUAGAGGAAAUUCACAAGAUGAGAGGCAUAGAGCUUUCAGAACAAAAUAUACUUCAACCACCCUUUCCAUGCUCCAAGGUAGAAAUUACUCAUAGAACUAUAGAUGAACAAAAUCUCAUUCUUUUAACUUGAAAAACUGUUUACAAUACUGUUUUUUUUUCCUAUAGUCACAUUGUAAUUUCUUAUUUCUCAUUUUAAAAUUUGUUUUACUAGAACCAGCUGCUUCUCCUCUCAGUCACUGUGACCUCCAUUUAUAUUUGGAAGAAUAUAAUCCAAGAUCAGGCAGUAGUGAUGUCAUUUGAAAGGUUGGUUAUUUAUUUGCAUUGAGGAAAGGCAAAAUUUUUAAAAGGCACGUUCAAAAUGUGUGUAAACAUCUUUAAGGAGCCACUCCGUAUGACAUUACACAUUCUAUUUGGAAUAACCUGAUUUUAAAGCACCCCUUCCAUGACAAUUUUUAAUGUUCUCUUUGCACAAAAGAUUCUCUGAAGGAUGGAGAGAAAAAACACUUGUUUUUUUUAAAAAGAUAACAAGAUGUUCUAAAAGGUUAGCAUAAAGACAAAAUGGCAUAGGAUCUAGAGACUUCGAUUACUUUCUGAGCCCUGAUUUCUUCUUCUAUAUAAAGGGGGCCAUCUCUGAGAGUUAUUGUAAGGUAUGCAAUAGAUGGUAGCUAUUUUUAUUAGAAAACUGCAUUUGGGAUUGGUUGCAGAUGUCUUUGUUUUGGGAGAAUUGCAUCCCAAUUAUGAAGAUAAUUCAAACCCAAAGGGUCAUACAUGUGUUUUUUCCUUUUUUUUUUUGAUUCAGUGACAAAUUUACAUUCAGUAUUCUAGUUUAUAAAACAAGAGAGAAGGCUCAAAGCCUUUAUGGAAAAAAGAAAUCUCACUGAAGACUUCUUAAAGAACAAUCAUUGAUUAUCCCUCAGCAAAUAUUUACUGAAAUAUAUACUAAGCACUGUGCUAGAUGCUGGGGAGUGAGCUAUACAGUUCUGAUCUCACUGAACUUGGAUCUGAUGCAGGAGGCUGUGAUUCGUCAAAUAACCACAAAUAGUUGAUACAAUCUAUAGUAAAAGCUAUGAAGGAAAACUCUGACUUUUUAAAAAUCUUGGAGAAUAAAAUAGACGUUGGAAAAUAUACUUGGGAAAUGUAAUUUUGCUAUUUUUCCAUGUCAAUCUCUUUCCUAAUUGGUAUUUACAAUGUUAGUACUUGGGCUCACUUGCUUGUGUACGGUGUUAUUUGUUAAGAUAAACUGUACCACACAUAUCCUGAAAUUUUCACAAUUGGAUUAAAACAUGGAAUCAUUCAGCUGGCAAACUGAUGAAUGUCCCAAGUUGCAACUUCCUAUCCUAGCCACGCACACGUUUUCAAGGGGUAAAAGUCCCUGGGCCGGAGGCCGGAGGUGGAGCUGGGGUUGGAGGCCUGAGGAAGGCAGGGACAAGGUUCCCAAAGCAGAUGCUGAGUCCCGUAAGCCACCAAAUCCCAAUUCAGGACAAAAGGAGUGAGGCAGGCCAGAAGAACUAGGUCAGGGCACCCAGGAAAACAAGCGUCUGGGGGGGACUGUUUUUAAAGUUGUAUUCAUCUCUAUUCAAAGAAUUUAUCAGAAGGCCUUCUCUGAGAAGUAUUUAUCAAACAGUAGCUCAUGACCCAUCUGUGGGUCACAAACUAAAGUUCGUGGGUA